rnacentral:rRNA from 1 species
GACGAACGCUGGCGGCGUGCUUAACACAUGCAAGUCGAACGAGACGAUUGAAAGCUUGCUUUUGAAAGUCGAGUGGCAAACGGGUGAGUAACGCGUAUCCAACCUGCCCAUCACUUGGGGAUAACCUUGCGAAAGUAAGACUAAUACCCGAUGAUAUCUCUAGACGACAUCUGAAAGGGAUUAAAGAUUUAUCGGUGAUGGAUGGGGAUGCGUCUGAUUAGCUUGUUGCGGGUAACGGCCCACCAAGGCAACGAUCAGUAGGGGGUUCUGAGAGGAAAGGUCCCCCCACAUUGGAACUGAGACACGGUCCAAACUCCUACGGGAGGCAGCAGUGAGGAAUAUUGGUCAAUGGGCGAGAGCCUGAACCAGCCAAGUAGCGUGCAGGACGACGGCCCUAUGGGUUGUAAACUGCUUUUAUAAGGGAAUAAAGUGAGUCUCGUGAGGCUUUUUGCAUGUACCUUAUGAAUAAGGACCGGCUAAUUCCGUG